UUAGAGUUUGAUCAUGGCUCAGGACGAACGCUGGCGGCGUGCUUAACACAUGCAAGUCGAACGGAAAGGCCCUUCGGGGUGCUCGAGUGGCGAACGGGUGAGUAACACGUGGGUGAUCUGCCCUGCACUUUGGGAUAAGCCUGGGAAACUGGGUCUAAUACCGAAUAUGACUACAUGCUUCCUGGUGUGUGGUGGAAAGCUUUUGCGGUGUGGGAUGGGCCCGCGGCCUAUCAGCUUGUUGGUGGGGUAAUGGCCUACCAAGGCGACGACGGGUAGCCGGCCUGAGAGGGCGGACGGACACACUGGAACUGAGACACGGUCCAGACUCCUACGGGAGGCAGCAGUGGGGAAUAUUGCACAAUGGGCGCAAGCCUGAUGCAGCAACGCCGCGUGAGGGACGACGGCCUUCGGGUUGUAAACCUCUUUUAGUAGGGAAGAAGCGAAAGUGACGGUACCUGCAGAAAAAACACCGGCUAACUACGUGCCAGCAGCCGCGGUAAUACGUAGGGUGCAAGCGUUAUCCGGAAUUAUUGGGCGUAAAGAGCUCGUAGGCGGUUUGUCGCGUCUGCUGUGAAAACUGGAGGCUCAACCUCCAGCCUGCAGUGGGUACGGGCAGACUAGAGUGCGGUAGGGGAGAUUGGAAUUCCUGGUGUAGCGGUGGAAUGCGCAGAUAUCAGGAGGAACACCGAUGGCGAAGGCAGAUCUCUGGGCCGUAACUGACGCUGAGGAGCGAAAGCGUGGGGAGCGAACAGGAUUAGAUACCCUGGUAGUCCACGCCGUAAACGUUGGGAACUAGAUGUAGGGACCAUUCCACGGUUUCUGUGUCGCAGCUAACGCAUUAAGUUCCCCGCCUGGGGAGUACGGCCGCAAGGCUAAAACUCAAAGGAAUUGACGGGGGCCCGCACAAGCGGCGGAGCAUGCGGAUUAAUUCGAUGCAACGCGAAGAACCUUACCAAGGCUUGACAUAUACGAGAACGGGCCAGAAAUGGUCAACUCUUUGGACACUCGUAAACAGGUGGUGCAUGGUUGUCGUCAGCUCGUGUCGUGAGAUGUUGGGUUAAGUCCCGCAACGAGCGCAACCCUCGUUCUAUGUUGCCAGCACGUCAUGGUGGGAACUCAUAGGAGACUGCCGGGGUCAACUCGGAGGAAGGUGGGGAUGACGUCAAAUCAUCAUGCCCCUUAUGUCUUGGGCUUCACGCAUGCUACAAUGGCCGAUACAAAGGG
rnacentral:rRNA from 1 species